rnacentral:tRNA from 1 species
UAUUUGUUGGUGUAAAGAGCAUAAAAGAUUUUGAUUCUUUAAGUGUUAGUGCAAUUCUAUCACAAAUAA